GGGGCUGUACUGGUUUCGACAGCAUAGAUCUUUGGAAGUGUAAGCAUGUCGUGCGUUGGAUAAUUAGCACGUUAAUCUGAAUAUUCAAAACUAUAAAUGGCAAUACUCAGUAUGCCAUGGCUGCUUAAUC
rnacentral:tmRNA from 1 species